rnacentral:rRNA from 1 species
GAUGAACGCUGGCGGCGUGCCUAACACAUGCAAGUCGAGCGAGGGUUUGCUCAGUAUUGAGUAUUCUAAGUCUAGAAUGUUCAAUUCUGAGCAAAACCAAGCGGCGGACGGGUGAGUAACGCGUGGGUAACCUGCCCUAUACACAUGGAUAACAUACUGAAAAGUUUACUAAUACAUGAUAAUAUAUAUUUGCGGCAUCGCAGAUAUAUCAAAGUGUUAGCGGUAUAGGAUGGACCCGCGUCUGAUUAGCUAGUUGGUGAGAUAACUGCCCACCAAGGCGACGAUCAGUACCGACCUGAGAGGGUGAUCGGCCACAUUGGAACUGAGACACGGUCCAAACUCCUACGGGAGGCAGCAGUGGGGAAUAUUGCACAAUGGGCGAAAGCCUGAUGCAGCAACGCCGCGUGAACGAUGAAGGUCUUCGGAUCGUAAAGUUCU